AUAAGCUAAAUAAGGGCGUAUGGGGAAUGCCUAGGGUCUCAGAGGCGAUGAAGGACGUGAUAAGCUGCGAAAAGCUGCGGGGAUUGGCACACACAAUUUGAUCCGCAGAUAUCCGAAUGGGGAAACCCACUAUAUUGAAGAUAUAGUAUCCGAAAGGAAGCGAACCCGGAGAACUGAAACAUCUAAGUACCCGGAGGAGAAGAAAACAAAAGUGAUUCCGAUAGUAGCGGCGAGCGAAAUCGGAUUAGUCCAAACCAAAGUUGUUACGGCAAUUUUGGGGUUGUAGGACCACGUUAUUGAAUGUUUUAUGAAUUAGAAUUCUUUGGAAAAAGAAACCAUAGAGGGUGAUAGUCCCGUAUAAGUAAAGACAAUUAUUCAUAGUGGUAUCCUGAGUAGUGCGGGACACGAGUAAUCCUGUAUGAAUCAAGCGGGACCAUCCGCUAAGACUAAAUACUCCUGAGACACCGAUAGUGAACUAGUACCGUGAGGGAAAGGUGAAAAGAACCUUGAAUAAAGGAGUGAAAUAGAUCCUGAAACCAUACGCUUACAAGCGGUCGGAGCCAUUCGUGGUGACGGCGUGCCUUUUGCAUAAUGAGCCUACGAGUUACCGUUUCUAGCAAGGUUAAGUACUUCAGGUACGGAUCCGUAGCGAAAGCGAGUCUGAAUAGGGCGAUUUAGUUAGUGGCGGUAGACGCGAAACCGUGUGAUCUACCCAUGGGCAGGGUGAAGCUGUAGUAACAUACAGUGGAGGCCCGAACCGAUAUACGUUGAAAAGUGUUCGGAUGACCUGUGGGUAGGGGUGAAAGGCCAAUCAAACUCGGAAAUAGCUCGUACUCCCCGAAAUGCAUUUAGGUGCAGCGUUGAUUUAUAGUUUUAUAGAGGUAGAGCUACUGAUUGGAUGCGGGGGCUUCACCGCCUACCAAUUCCUGACAAACUCCGAAUGCUAUAAAAUGUUAAUCAGCAGUGAGGGCAUGGGUGCUAAGGUCCAUGUCCGAGAGGGAAAGAACCCAGACCAUCAGCUAAGGUCCCAAAAUAUAUGUUAAGUUGAAUAAACGAGGUUGAACUGCACAGACAGCUAGGAUGUUGGCUUGGAAGCAGCCAUUCAUUUAAAGAGUGCGUAACAGCUCACUAGUCGAGCGGUUCGGCAUGGAUAAUAAUCGGGCAUAAACAUAUUACCGAAGCUAUGGACUUGUAAAAGUGGUAGGGGAGCAUUGUAGUGUCGUCGAAGGUAAAACGUGAGUUUUGCUGGAGAAGCUACAAAAGAAAAUGUAGGCAUAAGUAACGAUAAUGCGGGCGAGAAACCCGCACACCGAAAGACUAAGGUUUCCUCAGCUAUGCUAAUCAGCUGAGGGUUAGUCGGGACCUAACGCGAACCCGAAAGGGGUAGUGGAUGGACAACAGAUUAAUAUUUCUGUACCUGCUCACAAUAAAAGUGACGGAGGCGUAAAUUUGGUGCGUACUGACGGAAUAGUACGUUGAAGCCAGUGGUAACACGGCGAUAGUACACUGAAACUUCGGUAGAGGUGAUAAUCCAGAAAAGCGACUUCCAAGAAAAACAAGUGAAGCAGCCCGUACCCCAAACCGACACAGGUAGUUGGGAUGAGAAUUCUAAGGUGCUCGAGAGAUUCAUGGUUAAGGAACUAGGCAAAAUCGACCCGUAACUUCGGGAGAAGGGUCGCCCAUCUUCGGAUGGGCCGCAGUGAAAAGGUCCAGGCGACUGUUUAUCAAAAACACAGGGCUAUGCUAAAUCGAAAGAUGAUGUAUAUGGCCUGACACCUGCCCGGUGCUGGAAGGUUAAGUGGAGGGUUUAGCUUCGGCGAAGAUCUGAAAUGAAGCCCCAGUAAACGGCGGCCGUAACUAUAACGGUCCUAAGGUAGCGAAAUUCCUUGUCGGGUAAGUUCCGACCUGCACGAAUGGUGCAACGAUCUGGACACUGUCUCAACCAUGAGCUCGGUGAAAUUGUAGUAUCGGUGAAGAUGCCGAUUACCCGCAGUGGGACGAAAAGACCCCGUGAACCUUUACUAUAGCUUAGUAUUGGCUUUGGAUAAGUAAUGUGUAGGAUAGUUGGGAGA
rnacentral:rRNA from 1 species